UCUCGUGGCAAAAAUAAAGUAGAAAUUAGAUCGUGCGCAACGCUCAUUGCUCUGGCCAGCCCAGAGGGGCUGCGGGUGGAGUUGCUGCAAUCCUUGCUCCUAAUCCUUCCCCUCUCAGGGCAGGAGCCGCUGGUGUCCCAGCAUCACACAGCCUUGGGGGUGGCAGGCUGGGCCAUGGGACAGCUGCCAGUGCCCUGAGCCUCAAGGUUUGCGGACUCUGGGGCAUCUUCCAGGACGCUGUUCCAAGGCAGAAAUGACUUCUAGUCCCCAAAUCACAAGAACAGACUUUGGUGUCCCAGGAGAUUUGCUCCACCUGGGAUAGAUGGAGGCCAUGAGGGUUUUAUCCCAUCAUCCAGCAGAGAGACAUCAAUGAGAUUUUCCCACUAGUGCCGAGGACUGGAGCCAAACCCCACACGGUGCUGCGAAAACCUCAAGUGGAAGCCUUGCCAGGGAUGGAGUAGGUAAAAGCUGCUCACUUUGAAUCUCUGGGUAUUUCAUCAUGAGCAGGAUGGACCACUGGAGCGUGGUGGCAAUAGUCUCUGUCCCAGCCAUGACCAGAUCAAGUAUGGAUGCCAUUAAGUUGUCAUCAUGGAAGAGGCUGUCUUUCUUGUUCUUCUCCUUGAAAAGCACAAGAGGUGCAAUGGCUGCUUCUGAACAUUUGAAAACUGCUGAAGUAAAUCCUAUGGCUGGUGUGGCUCACCUGCCAGCGUAAAAAAAAAUGGUUUAUCUGUGGGACAGGUUACUUACGUUUAAAUUCGGGGAUCCCAGAAGAAUCAUGACUUCAUCUAUGAGUCUUAAGAGAGUGAGAAAGGUUGGGUCCUUGUAGUCAAACCUGUCCCCAAAGAGCAUGACGAAGGUGACGUUGAUGGGAGCGCAGUUGAAGGACGGCAGGCUGAAAGGUUCCCCUGCAGCGGGAGCGGGAUGGGAAAGCUGUGAGGCGUGGAGCAGCUGUGACACACACGAGGCUGGGCAGCCCCGGGAUGGUCCCCAGCUCACCUUUGAAGGAUUUGAUCAUCUCGAUGAGGAAGUGAAGCUCCUCAAAGAUUCUGCCUUCUAUCAUUUGUUUCCCCAUGCCGAGGUUGCGCAUGCUGGACACGGUGAAUCUCCGCGUUGUCCUCCACAGCUCCCCGAUGGAGAAGAACAGACCUGGGCAGCCCGUGAGAAAUGUGCUGGGCUCAGGCACGGAGGAGCCCCCCACACCAAACCAAACAGGGAGCUCCACAGGUGUUUCUGCUGCCUGUUUUCACGUGGAUUUAGGGACUAAAGGCCUCCCCUUUCUGUGAGCCUCAUCCCUGUAUCCUCUCAGCUCUGUUCCCACUGAGCUUGUAGUUUGGGAAAAGCAAGCUCCCUCCCAGCCCAGUUACCCCAGUCCUCUCCUGAGUGGCAGAUGGGCAGGUGUGCCCUUCAGACCAGCGUGGGUUGGCUGUGGAGCUGGGGGGAGAUGUUGCCUAGAGCCAGUCACGGGACAUUUUUGACCCUGCUGGUUGCAAGUCUAGGACCUCUAGCUCCUCGUGUCUCUGAAGCUUCUCCCUUCACCCUAUUUUAGUCAUAAAAGUAGUUUAACUGUGUGAGAUGGGAUAAUUCAGUCUCCUCAAAUCUAAACUGUUUCAUGGAGGUUCUCAGCAGUGCUGUAUUUUCAGCAGUGGCAAAAAUGCUGACAUUUUUGUGGAGGUUUCUGAGUUCAUGCCACGAUGAUCUCUAGCACCUCCGAGCAGGGAUGGGUAUUUCAUCCUGUCAGAGUGCUGUAAAGGAAAAGUUGGGUCAAUAAUCCAAAAGCUAUCUCAGACUGUGGUCAGUUGAAAAGCUGGAUGCCAGCACUUCACAUCUUCAUUUUGGUUGUGAGGCUUUUAAAUAUGUUUGCUUUUCUGUUUUAGAGCAGUGUAGUUUUAAUUUGGAUAGCAAAACUUUUUGCUCUAAAAAUGUCAAAGCAAAUUUCUAAACUUCAAUUUUUAGUUUUUCUUUAAUUUAUGCAAUUUCAUCUGGAUCAUUCCUUUUCUGAGAGCAUCUUCACAGUCAACAAAUUGGCAUUUUCUGAAGAGAAAAUGUUUCAUGGGAAAAUUUGUGACCGUUGUUGCUUAACAGCCCCUGAGAACUUCUAUCUUUGGGUCACCUCUAAGUGCCUCAGACUUGGGCUGAGAAGGUAAAUGUGAAAGGACUUAUGAUGCAAUACUGAUAGUCUCCCACAGGGAUGUUUUACAUGUAAAUUAGCUCUAAAAAAUACCUUUCUCCUCAUCGAUUCCUUUUAUUUAUGUAGCAAUAAAUUCAUCUAUUGAUAUUAUGGCUGGGUAAUUAAAUUUCUAAUUCUAAUCCCAACUUCAGCCUGUGACCAGCAUAUAAAGUUCUUUUGGUUCUCCUGGCUAAAGCCUCACAUGAAGCAGAAGAUGGACAAAGCAAAAUAGUCAGGGGUGGAAAGUUACCUUGGAAAAACUAUGGGAUUGUUUGCGGGGACGAAUUUCAGCCUUUUGCUUCUGCCUGAACCUACUUCAGGCUGGUCAAGCUGAGAACUUUUGUGGGGAGGCAAAGGUGUGGGAACUGACACGACAAAGGCAGUGGGAGAAAGGGAAAAACCCGACAGCUCCGAACAGCCAAGCCAGGUAGUCCAAAGUCUCCUGGAAAUGUGCAGAAGGUUCAUAAACACGGUGGUGACAGCGAGCU